UCUGUGUCACUCUCUCAGCAAAGCAAAGAGAGAGAGAGAGAGAGAUUCCAAGUUUCCAACAAAAAGAAGAGAGAAAAGAGAGAGAGAGAUGAUGGGGGUGGGGGAGAGAGAGAGAGAGAGAGGAGUUUGAGAGAGAUUGUACGGUAAUGGUGACUCUUCAGAUUCCUCAGUUUAAUCAGUCUUUCUCUCUCUUAAACUAACUUUCUCUCUUUAUAAAUAAACUAGUACAAUAUUAUGCUAUUUAUGAUUAUCGUUGUAAAAGGACAAUUUUUUUUUUUUCCUUCUACUUCUCUUUGUAAUCAGUUUUUUAGUGUUCAGAUCUGUGUUGUUUGAUACCAUUUGGUUAUUGGGUUUUGUAAAAAUUUGUACUUGAAUAUAUGUUUGAUCUAGCAAUUUUACUCAUUUCAUGAAUGUUUUUAGUUUUUUAAGUUUUUAUGACUUUGUUGUCAGAAAAAAAAUAAAAGGCAAAAGAGAGAUUUUUUUUUUUUUUUUUUUUCUCUGUUGGGUUAGUUAAGCUUAUGGGGUAGUUGUGGUAGUUGAGCGUGAAGUCACUGGAGGCAGCGGUUCAUCGAUCUCUUCCUGGGAAUUUGUUGUGACACUAAAACAAACAUGAAUCGGUCGAUAAACCUCUGCAUCCAGCGCUCACCUCUCUCUUUCUUCUUUGUGUCAUCUUUUGGCAUUUAUGGAAUCAUAUAUUUUUGUGUUUUGUUGCUGAAAAAUUUGAAGUGAGGCAACAGAAAAUGAUAUAGUUUGGUCUUUUUUACUAGUUGGGAUGCAAAUGAAGAAGGAUAAAAGGGGAAUCUUUGCUUAAUUGAGCCUUCUAGUCUGGUUUUUUUUGUAUUUACUUCACUUGGGAAUUAUAAAGAUCAUCAAAACACUAAAUGGGUACCUUCUCUCUUUUGUAAAAAAGCAAGGGAAGGUUGAAUUUUGUUGAUGGGGCUCAAGACCCUCCUGCUGCAUGUAUUACUUACUAAGAAAAAAGAAAAGAAAAAAGAAGAGUUUAAAACAUUUGGGUUCAAAUACUAGUUUUCUGGAAUAUGCCUCUAUUUUUUGCCUUUUCUUUUAAUUUUUGCACCACUAAUACUUUUUAGUGCAUUGUUUUGUGUUAUGAGCUUAUGAUAUGUUGUUGAGUAAUUUGCAGGUUAUGAGAUGAAUAAAUUUUGAACCGGUCGGUUUUGAGGAAAGUUGCCUUUGCCUUCAAAGAUUGUGGUUGUAAAGUUACUACUUGUUUCUUUCUUUCUCUGAUACGGGGAAAGGUAUCUUUGAAAUAAAGUUUGAAGUGGGAGACAUAAUAUCGUCAUUCCUAUGUGAAAGUGUGGGAAAAUCACAAUCGAGUACAAGUUGGCAGAGUAUCCUCUAUGCAGAUGCUCACUAGUAGAAUCUGGUAUCAAAUUCCUUGUACCAAGCUUAGAAUGGAAAUCAAUAAAAGUAGAAAUGACUCUACUAUACAAAGCAAAACUCUUUUUAAGUUUUUGGUUCAAGUAACACAUGUAUCAGCUAGAAAAGUAAGGGAGGAAAUGAAACUAACGCAAGCUGUCAAUAUUCCAUCAUUUUGGUUCCUUGUGCUGAUUCAUUUUGUUGAAGAACCUGCCAUAGUGAAAUCAUCCUAAUAUAAUGGCAUUAGAAAAAAAUUUCAUUUUCAUU